GGAUGUGAGGAUGAUCUGGCUGGCUAGGCGGGUGCCCCCUUCCUGCCUCAUCGCUCCAUGUGCGUCCCUCCUGAAGCUGCACACUCAGUAGAAGAGGACAACCUUCCCCGAAUAGAGGAGGAUCAGUCUUCGGUCAAGAGUAUACGAGUAGCUGCACUCCCCUACUGGAACCUCCAAACAAGCUCUCAAAAAUCAAGAAAUCUAUUCAAUAAUGUUUACUAAUCUACAAGUGGUAAUAUUAUACCAAAUGU
rnacentral:snRNA from 1 species